rnacentral:rRNA from 1 species
AGACCCGAAACCCGGUGAUCUAGCCAUGGGCAGGUUGAAGGUUGGGUAACACUAACUGGAGGACCGAACCGACUAAUGUUGAAAAAUUAGCGGAUGACCUGUGGCUGGGGGUGAAAGGCCAAUCAAACCGGGAGAUAGCUGGUUCUCCCCGAAAGCUAUUUAGGUAGCGCCUCGUGAAUUCAUCUCCGGGGGUAGAGCACUGUUUCGGCUAGGGGGCCAUCCCGGCUUACCAACCCGAUGCAAACUGCGAAUACCGGAGAAUGUUAUCACGGGAGACACACGGCGGGUGCUAACGUCCGUCGUGAAGAGGGAAACAACCCAGACCGCCAGCUAAGGUCCCAAAGUCAUGGUUAAGUGGGAAACGAUGUGGGAAGGCCCAGACAGCCAGGAUGUUGGCUUAGAAGCAGCCAUCAUUUAAAGAAAGCGUAAUAGCUCACUGGUCGAGUCGGCCUGCGCGGAAGAUGUAACGGGGCUAAACCAUGCACCGAAGCUGCGGCAGCGACGCUUAUGCGUUGUUGGGUAGGGGAGCGUUCUGUAAGCCUGUGAAGGUGUGUCGUGAGGCAUGCUGGAGGUAUCAGAAGUGCGAAUGCUGACAUAAGUAACGAUAAA